rnacentral:lncRNA from 1 species
AGGAUCUGCCAGCUGAAAUGGAAGUUAACAGUUUAGCCUCUGGCAAUAUUAUUUUUGAGAAUGCUUUCACUUUCUUAAGUUUAGGUAAAGCUAGUGGUUGAUUUGAACUAAAUAGAAUUCACUCAGUACUUUAGAACGCGUGCUACAGUGAAGAAUGGCUUCAGGAAACAAACUUUGAGAAUCAGAAUUGGAGAAUCAUAUUAUCCACGUCAACUCAGCAGUGAAAUGAUUAGUAAUUGAUUGCGUGUUCUGCACAUUGUCCCUGCAAAAUAACCGCCUUAUUCAAGAAAUUGACUGUGGAGGAAAUAGAAUUGCCUUUCAAGAUUCCUUGCAGCUGUGAUCCAAGGCAGAAAAAAAGAUAUCCCACAGCAGGAAUUCACCCAGCAACCACUGCACCUCAGCAAUGCGUACAGGAAAGGGACCUGUGCCGUGUUCAUCUCCCUCUUUAAAAUCAGCACAAAAGACAACGAUAUCAAGGGUAAAUGGUCCUAUGAAAAGAUUGUAGAAUUUUCCUCUAGAGGUUUUACUCAUAGAAGUAUUAAAGAUUUAUACUAUAUUCCUCCAGAGCUUACUAUAUGACUAGAAAUAAACAUUUCUGCAAGUCCGAGCUUGGGUAGAAUCACCACGUGGACAGUUAUCACUUAUGUAUAGAGCAUGGAUGAGGUGGGCAAUAGGAGUUGAUGGAAAAGAGCCACAGAAACAAAUAAGUCAAUUUCCACAAUGAUCUAUUCAAGAUCAUUUGAAAUAUAAGUAGCCAUGGAAAAUGCAUUUAUGAUCAUCAACAAUUAUUCACUACAACGUGCACUUGAAAACUAUGCUUAAAUUAACCCAAUAUAUGUGAAUUGGAAACAAGAAUUUCUACUCCCAGAUCUUUUCUUUUAAAAAAAGCUAUUUAGCCGUGGGUAAUAAGUGCAAGGCCUGAUAGUAUCUUAUUCUCUUUUUUUUUUUUU